AGCAGCCGCGGUAAUUCCAGCUCCAAUAGCGUAUAUUAAAGUUGUUGCAGUUAAAAAGCUCGUAGUUGAAUUUCGGGAUUGACGUGAUGGUCAUGCCUUAAGGGGUAUGAACUGUUGCAGUUGAUUUCUCACCUUCUGGAGAAACUUGAUGUCCUUUAUUGGGUGUCUUGCGAAUCCAGGACCUUUACCUUGAAAAAUUAGAGUGUUUAAAGCAGGCAUUUUUGCUCGAAUACAUUAGCAUGGAAUAAUAGAAUAGGACGGCAUGGUUCUAUUUUGUUGGUUUCUAGGAUCACCGUAAUGAUUAAUAGGGAUAGUUGGGGCAUUAGUAUUCAAUUGUCAGAGGUGAAAUUCUUGGAUUUAUUGAAGAC
rnacentral:rRNA from 1 species